CUCGCUUCUCGGCCUUUUGGCUAAGAUCAAGUGUAGAAUUGUGGAUUUGUUAAUGAAGGGGUAACGAAGUAACCAUAGUGGCAGCGUAUAUUAAUAUUUCAAAUCAUUGCACACUAAUUGUUCUGGAAAUGUUGAAAUGAGUUCGUCAUGGUGAGUGUUUCAAACCGCUGUCUCUGGGCUGAAACAAUGCGAGCCGUU